rnacentral:rRNA from 1 species
GAUGAACGCUGGCGGCGUGCCUAAUACAUGCAAGUCGAGCGAAUGGAUUAAGAGCUUGCUUUUAUGAAGUUAGCGGCGGACGGGUGAGUAACACGUGGGUAACCUGCCCAUAAGACUGGGAUAACUCCGGGAAACCGGGGCUAAUACCGGAUAACAUUUUGAACCGCAUGGUUAGAAAUUGAAAGGCGGCUUCGGCUGUCAAUUAUGGAUGGAUCCGCGUUGCAAUUAGCUAGUUGGUGAGGUAACGGCUCACCAAGGCAACGAUGCGUAGCCGACCGGAGAGGGUGAUCGGCCACACUGGGACUGAGACACGGCCCAGACUCCUACGGGAGGCAGCAGUAGGGAAUCUUCCGCGAUGGACGAAAGUCUGACGGAGCAACGCCGCGUGAGUGAUGAAGGCUUUCGGGUCGUAAAACUCUGUUGUUAGGGAAGAACAAGUGCUAGUUGAAUAAGCUGGCACCUUGACGGUACCUAACCAGAAAGCCACGGCUAACUACGUGCCAGCCGCCGCCGUAA